GACGAACGCUGGCGGCGUGGAUUAGGCAUGCAAGUCGAACGGUAGAGAACCUUCGGGUUCUUGAGAGUGGCGAACGGGUGAGUAACGCGUAGGUGAUCUACCUUCAGGUGGGGGACAACCCGGGGAAACCCGGGCUAAUACCGCAUGUGUCCGCAAGGACAAAGCCGGCCUCUGAAUAUGCUGGUGCCUGGAGAUGAGCCUGCGUCUGAUUAGCUAGACGGUGGGGUAAUGGCCUACCGUGGCGAUGAUAGGUAGGCGGCUUUAACGAGUGGCCGCCCACACUGGGAUUGAGAAACGGCCCAGACUCCUACGGGAGGCAG
rnacentral:rRNA from 1 species